rnacentral:rRNA from 1 species
UACGUAGGGGGCUAGCGUUGUCCGGAAUCAUUGGGCGUAAAGAGCGUGUAGGCGGCCCGGUAAGUCCGCUGUAAAAGUCAAAGGCUCAACCUUUGAAUGCCGGUUGAUACUGAAGAUCUUGAGUUCGGGAGAGGUGAGUGGAACUGCGAGUGUAGAGGUGAAAUUCGUAGAUAUUCGCAAGAACACCAGUGGCGAAGGCGGCUCACUGGCCCGAUACUGACGCUGAGGCACGAAAGCGUGGGGAGCAAACAGG